GAUGAACGCUAGCUACAGGCUUAACACAUGCAAGUCGAGGGGAAACGACAUCGAAAGCUUGCUUUUGAUGGGCGUCGACCGGCGCACGGGUGAGUAACGCGUAUCCAACCUGCCCAUCACUUGGGAAUAACCUUGCGAAAGUAAGACUAAUACCCAAUGACAUCCCACGAAGACAUCUGAAUGGGAUUAAAGAUUUAUCGGUGAUGGAUGGGGAUGCGUCUGAUUAGCUUGUUGGCGGGGUAACGGCCCACCAAGGCAACGAUCAGUAGGGGUUCUGAGAGGAAGGUCCCCCACAUUGGAACUGAGACACGGGCCAAACUCCUACGGGAGGCAGCAGUGAGGAAGAUUGGUCAAUGGGCGAGAGCCUGAACCAGCCAAGUAGCGUGCAGGAGGACGGCCCUAUGGGUUGUAAACUGCUUUUAUAAGGGAAUAAAGUGGGUCUCGUGAGACUUUUUGCAUGUACCUUAUGAAUAAGGACCGGCUAAUUCCGUG
rnacentral:rRNA from 1 species